AUGUUUGAUUGCACAGUUACUACAACUACUGAUAGAGCUCAGAUUCUGCUAGCUGCCCAAUCUAUGGACGGCAAUCUUAGUUCGGUAGCGGAAGGCGAUCUGAAGCUGUUCCAGGAGCAGAAUCUUCCCAACUUUCUCCUCUCCCUAUCAGUAGAGAUGUCAAGUGAUGAAAGGCCACCAGAGUCUAGAACGGUUGCUGGUAUUAUGCUUAAGAAUUCGUUGGACACAACGGAUUCUGCAAAGAAAGAGCUGCUGAUUCAACAGAGGGUCACCCUGGAUCCAUCUGUCAAAGUCAAAGAUUAA
rnacentral:rRNA from 1 species